rnacentral:rRNA from 1 species
UACGUAGGGUGCAAGCGUUGUCCGGAAUUAUUGGGCGUAAAGAGCUCGUAGGCGGUCUGUCGCGUCGGAUGUGAAAGCCCGGGGCUUAACCCCGGGUCUGCAUUCGAUACGGGCAGACUAGAGUGUGGUAGGGGAGAUCGGAAUUCCUGGUGUAGCGGUGAAAUGCGUAGAUAUCUGGAGGAACACCGGUGGCGAAGGCGGCAUCCUGGACCGGCAUUGACGCUGAGGCGCGAAAGCUAGGGGAGCAAACGGG